ACAAGAAGGAGAGAUCGCGUGAGGCUCGAAGCCACCGCUACUCCACUCGGGCAGCGAUUGCGCCGUACAAAUGCUGGAAGCGUCUGGAGGGUAUGCGCGGGGGAGCCGGGUGGGGCAAGGCUAUAAAAAGACGCAGGUGAGGGGCGGAGGCCAGUCGGCUCCGAUCUGUCAAACGAUUCGUGUACAGUACUCCGCCGGCUGUGCGUUCAGCUUCACUAUACAGUAUACGCUCGAUCGCAUCAGUUCGUCAUCAUAUACUUGGCGCGUAGCUGUCGAGGAUGAUGUGGCUGGUCGGUUAAACUAGUACCAGUGCGUGAUCCUGCACGUGGUUUCACACCUGAUCGACCAAAGAGAUAGAU